rnacentral:rRNA from 1 species
AUGGCUCAGGAUGAACGCUAGCGGCAGGCUUAACACAUGCAAGUCGAGGGGCAGCGAGUAGAUUGCUUGCAAUCUAUGUCGGCGACCGGCGCACGGGUGCGUAACGCGUAUGCAACCUACCCAUUACAGGGGGAUAACACUGAGAAAUCGGUACUAAUACCCCAUAACAUCCAGGGAGGCAUCUUCUUGGGUUGAAAACUCCGGUGGUAAUGGAUGGGCAUGCGUUGUAUUAGUUAGUUGGUGGGGUAACGGCUCACCAAGACAACGAUACAUAGGGGGACUGAGAGGUUAACCCCCCACAUUGGUACUGAGACACGGACCAAACUCCUACGGGAGGCAGCAGUGAGGAAUAUUGGUCAAUGGACGCAAGUCUGAACCAGCCAUGCCGCGUGCAGGAAGACGGCUCUAUGAGUUGUAAACUGCUUUUGUACGAGGGUAAACGCAGAUACGCGUAUCUGUCUGAAAGUAUCGUACGAAUAAGGAUCGGCUAACUCCGUGCCAGCAGCCGCGGUAAUACGGAGGAUUCAAGCGUUAUCCGGAUUUAUUGGGUUUAAAGGGUGCGUAGGCGGUCGGAUAAGUUAGAGGUGAAAUCCCGGGGCUCAACUUCGGAAUUGCCUCUGAUACUGUUCGGCUAGAGAGUAGUUGCGGUAGGCGGAAUGUAUGGUGUAGCGGUGAAAUGCUUAGAGAUCAUACAGAACACCGAUUGCGAAGGCAGCUUACCAAGCUACUUCUGACGUUGAGGCACGGAAGCGUGGGGAGCAAACAGGAUUAGAUACCCUGGUAGUCCACGCAGUAAACGAUGAUAACUCGUUGUCGGCGAUACAAUGUCGGUGACUAAGCGAAAGCGAUAAGUUAUCCACCUGGGGAGUACGUUCGCAAGAAUGAAACUCAAAGGAAUUGACGGGGGCCCGCACAAGCGGAGGAACAUGUGGUUUAAUUCGAUGAUACGCGAGGAACCUUACCCGGGCUUGAAAGUUAGUGACAGAUCUGGAAACAGGUCUUCCCUUCGGGGCACGAAACUAGGUGCUGCAUGGUUGUCGUCAGCUCGUGCCGUGAGGUGUCGGGUUAAGUCCCAUAACGAGCGCAACCCCUACCGUCAGUUGCCAGCAGGUCAAGCUGGGCACUCUGGCGGGACUGCCGGUGUAAGCCGAGAGGAAGGUGGGGAUGACGUCAAAUCAGCACGGCCCUUACGUCCGGGGCUACACACGUGUUACAAUGGCAGGUACAGAGGGCAGCUACCCAGCGAUGGGAUGCGAAUCUCGAAAGCCUGUCUCAGUUCGGAUUGGAGGCUGAAACCCGCCUCCAUGAAGUUGGAUUCGCUAGUAAUCGCGCAUCAGCCAUGGCGCGGUGAAUACGUUCCCGGGCCUUGUACACACCGCCCGUCAAGCCAUGGAAGCUGGGGGUGCCUGAAGUUCGUGACCGCAAGGAGCGACCUAGGGCAAAACCGGUGACUGGGGCUAAGUCGUAACAAGGU